rnacentral:rRNA from 1 species
GGCGGCGUGCCUAACACAUGCAAGUCGCACGAGAAAGGGACUUCGGUCCUGAGUAAAGUGGCGCACGGGUGAGUAACACGUGACUAAUCUACCCUCGAGUGGGGAAUAACCUAGGGAAACCUGGGCUAAUACCGCAUAACACUUACGAGUCAAAGCAGCAAUGCGCUUGGGGAGGAGGUCGCGGCAGAUUAGCUAGUUGGUGGGGUAAUGGCCCACCAAGGCGAUGAUCUGUAUCCGGCCUGAGAGGGCGCACGGACACACUGGAACUGAAACACGGUCCAGACUCCUACGGGAGGCAGCAGUGGGGAAUUUUGCGCAAUGGGGGAAACCCUGACGCAGCAACGCCGCGUGGAGGAUGAAGUCUCUUGGGACGUAAACUCCUUUCGACAGGGACGAUAAUGACGGUACCUGUAGAAGAAGCCCCGGCUAACUUCGUGCCAGCAGCCGCGGUAAUACGAAGGGGGCAAGCGUUGUUCGGAAUUAUUGGGCGUAAAGGGCGCGUA